rnacentral:piRNA from 1 species
UCCUCUUUGGGUUCUGGAACAGGGCGCUA